UACGUAGGGUGCAAGCGUUGUCCGGAAUUAUUGGGCGUAAAGAGCUCGUAGGCGGUUUUGUCGCGUCUGCCGUGAAAGUCCGGGGCUCAACUCCGGAUCUGCGGUGGGUACGGGCAGACUAGAGUGAUGUAGGGGAGACUGGAAUUCCUGGUGUAGCGGUGAAAUGCGCAGAUAUCAGGAGGAACACCGAUGCGAAGGCAGGUCUCUGGGCAUUAACUGACGCUGAGGAGCGAAAAGCAUGGGGGAGCGAACAGG
rnacentral:rRNA from 1 species